AGCGAACGUUUGCGGCGGGCCUAACACAUGCAAGUCGAACGGGUUGGCAACAACCAGUGGCGCACGGGUGCGUAACACGUAGGUAAUCUACCCUCAAGUUCGGGAUAACGAUCUGAAAGGAUCGCUAAUACCGGAUGUGUUCCGAAAGGAAGAAAGACCCGCAAGGGUCGCUAGAGGACGAGCCUGCGGCCCAUCAGCUAGUUGGUGAGGUAAUGGCUCACCAAGGCUAAGACGGGUAGCUGGUCUGAGAGGAUGAUCAGUCACACUGGAACUGAGACACGGUCCAGACUCCUACGGGAGGCAGCAGUGGGGAAUAUUGCGCAAUGGGCGAAAGCCUGACGCAGCCACGCCGCGUGAGCGAUGAAGGCCUCGGUCGUAAAGCUCUGUGGGAGGAGACGAAGAAAGACCUGUGAAGAGCGGGCCGUUGACGGUAUCUCCUUAGCAAGCACCGGCUAACUCCGUGCCAGCA
rnacentral:rRNA from 1 species